AGCGAACGCUGGCGGCAGGCUUAACACAUGCAAGUCGAACGGUCCUUCGGGAUAGUGGCGGACGGGUGAGUAACACGUGGGAACGUACCCUUAGGUUCGGAACAACACAGGGAAACUUGUGCUAAUACCGGAUGAGCCCUUCGGGGGAAAGAUUUAUCGCCUUUGGAGCGGCCCGCGUCUGAUUAGCUUGUUGGUGAGGUAAUGGCUCACCAAGGCUACGAUCAGUAGCUGGUCUGAGAGGAUGGCCAGCCACACUGGGACUGAGACACGGCCCAGACUCCUACGGGAGGCAGCAGUGGGGAAUCUUGCGCAAUGGGCGAAAGCCUGACGCAGCCAUGCCGCGUGGAUGAUGAAGGUCUUAGGAUUGUAAAAUCCUUUCACCGGGGACGAUAAUGACGGUACCCGGAGAAGAAGCCCCGGCUAACUUCGUGCCAGCCGCCGCGGUAACAC
rnacentral:rRNA from 1 species